GUUGUACUUUCAAAGCUAUUGUUUUGAAGUUUUGUAUAAGUUGGACUUGGAGCAAGUAGUCUAAGUUUUUCCUAUGUUUUAAGCUUGUCAAGAUGCGUAUUCGAAUUUAUGGCUAUAGGAAGUAAGAGCUUGAGAUUCAUAAACAUUUCUGGGAUCAAGUGGGAAUCCUGGAAGUAGACUGUUUUAAUUUAUAGAAUCUAUAGGGAGCCCUGGGGGCAGAGUAUUAGUUUACGGAAGUUAUGGUUAUCAUUAAUAUGUGUUACUUCUGCAACUUUCUUGCAUCCUGCCAACCAAUUUUUUUUUUUCUUGCAUCCUUAAUAACUACAUGAAUUUGCAUUUUUUAUGGUAGGGAAGCCUUCUUUUACAAAGAAACAAGCAAAUCUUUUCUUCCCCCCAGAUUUUGCCUUUCCAGUUGCAGUGCAGAAGCUUCAUCAGUGGGAGGUUUUUAUGCAAUCAAUAGACGUGGACAGGUGUUAUUGGCUAUUGUAAAUGAUCAAACAAUUGUAUCAUUUGUCAGUGGCCAGUUGAACAAUUUGGAGCUUGCUGUCAAUCUUGCCAAUAGAGGGAAUCUUCCUGGAGCCUAUCAGCUUGAUGUCCAACAUUUCCAAGAACUAUUUGCCCAAAUGAAGUACAAAGAAGCUGCAGAACUUGCUGCCGAGUCCCCACAAGGAAUCCUUUGAACACCAGACACAGUUGCCAAAUUCCAGAGUCUUCCUGUCCAAGCUGGGCAAACGCCACCUCUGUUGCAGUAUUUCGGGACACUUUUGACAAAAGGAAAGCUCAAUGCUUUUGAGCCGUUGGAAUUAUCACGCCUUGUUGUGAACCAAAACAAAAAGAAUCUUUUGGAGAAUUGGUUGGCAGAGGAUAAGUUGGAAUGCAGUGAGGAAAUACAGUUCUGAAACGAAUUUAUUAAGUUACUGGUUUACUUUAUCCCAAAUUAUUUAUUUAUUUUUGUUGUGUUCAUACUAUUAUAUUCCAUUGUAGACUGUGGAUAAUGAUCUCGCAUUGAAAAUAUAUAUUAAAGCCAGGUCAACUCCAAAAGUCAUUGCUGCUUUUGCUGAAUGGAGGGAAUUUGAUAAAAUUUUUAUAUUCAAAACAAGUGAAGAUAUUCUUUUUCUUUUAAUCAUUGUUGCUAUUGUGAUUUAUUGCAUUACUGUUAUUAUUAUAUUAUUUAUAAUUUGUUUUUGUAUACUUAUUUCAUGGUUUGAUCAAUUCAUUGUUUCUCUAUUGCUCUAGGUUGGGUGCAAUCCAGAUUAUCUAUUCCUUCUACAGACAAUCCUUUGUUCAGAUCCUCAGGGAGCUGUUAAUUUUGUGCUAAUGAUGUCUCAAAUCGAGGGAGGUUGUCCAGUUGAUUACAAUACCAUAACGGAUCUCUUUCUCAGAGGAACCUGAUCCGUGAUGCAACAGCUUUUCUAUUAGAUGUUUUGAAGCCAAAUCUUCUUUAUAUAGGUCCAGGAAAUCAAUCUGGUAACUUUUCCAAAUGUAGGUGACACUAUAUUAGCUAAUGGAAUGUUCAGCCAUUAUGACCGUCCUCAAAUUUCCCAACUUUGUGAAAAGGCCGGUCUUUACGAGUGAGCACGACAAGUAAUGUCCUCUUGCAGCAAAGAUGAAGGGACGAAGAAAAGUUGAUUUAGAUACUUAUAUUGUCAUUUUCUAUUCAAAAUUAUAAUAAUCAUUUAGACGGCAAAUUAUAGAAUAAAUUUCAUUCUAUCAUGUUGUAUCUGAUGACAGAUUCUACGAUGAUGAAGGUAGUUACACACUUUAUACUGACAACUUUCGACAACUAUAUUAUGACAAGCUAAUUGUGAUUUUCUGCUCAA